rnacentral:lncRNA from 1 species
AAGAGAGACGAAGACUCUUAUAGCUAAGACAGAGACAAUAUUCAUUCAUUCAUCACUGUGUGUGUGUGUGUGUUUUCUCUGCGUUCUUUUUCUUCUUCUUUAAUCUACUACUACUACUUCUCUGUACGUUCUGCCGGUGGAGUGAGUGGGUUCAACUCGGCGGAGCUGCGCGUGGUGGAGUUUGUGUACAGCUUCAGAAUCGAUCGGGUGUUAGGAGUUGGAACAGUAAGUUUUGCAAAGUCAAGCUCCCCCUUUGAUAAAGGUAAAAUUAUCAUUU